AUUGAACGCUGGCGGCAGGCCUAACACAUGCAAGUCGAACGGCAGCACAGAAGAGCUUGCUCUUUGGGUGGCGAGUGGCGGACGGGUGAGUAAUGUCUGGGAAACUGCCCGAUGGAGGGGGAUAACUACUGGAAACGGUAGCUAAUACCGCAUAACGUCGCAAGACCAAAGUGGGGGACCUUCGGGCCUCACACCAUCGGAUGUGCCCAGAUGGGAUUAGCUAGUAGGUGGGGUAAUGGCUCACCUAGGCGACGAUCCCUAGCUGGUCUGAUAGGAUGACCAGGCAGACUGGAACUGAGACACGGUCCAGAUUCCUACGGGAGGCAGCAGUGGGGAAUAUUGCACAAUGGGCGCAAGCCUGAUGCAGCCAUGCCGCGUGUAUGAAGAAGGCCUUCGGGUUGUAAAGUACUUUCAGCGGGGAGGAAGGCGGUGAGGUUAAUAACCUCGCCGAUUGACGUUACCCGCAGAAGAAGCACCGGCUAACUCCGUGCCAGCCGCCGCGGUAA
rnacentral:rRNA from 1 species